rnacentral:lncRNA from 1 species
AUGGUGAUGGGGGUGGUGGAGAUUUGUAGUAGUAAGGUGGUGGAGGUGAUGGUGAGGGUGGAGGAGGUGAUUUAUAGUAGUAAGGUGGUGGAGGAGAGGGAGAAGGAGGUGGUGGGGACUUGUAGACGUAUGGUGGUGGUGGAGAAGGAGAAGGAGGUGGUGGGGAUUUGUACACAUACGGUGGUGGUGGAGAGGCAUAUAUGUAAGGGUCAGCAGAAACAAUAUCAACAAGAGCCAAAAUGGCCACUAAGAUAUGUGGCAAAUAAUGACGACCCCGGCCGGGGCCGCCAGCAAAA